CACAAUGUGCUACCGAAGUAAAUAAUACAUUCUCACCACCGUAUGUUAUUUUAAAGAGUGUCUUUGUUUAAAACAAACGCAACAGCCGAUCACUCCGUCAGGGGGCGCAGCGUGGCCACCCGACGACCGGGGAACGCCUCCUCUCUCACAGCAGAAGAAGAAGCUCGCUCCGCAGGUUUGGGGCAGUUGAAGAGCGCGAAGCGGACAGAGCAGUGCGGGAAGAAGCCUCGUGUUCUCCGGUAGUUGCUCGACAGAAAGUACCCCGGGCGACUCGAAUCCGUUUAAAAAUUAAACCCUCUCAGGUGCGCGUGGACCCUCCGCGAGCAGCCGAGCUCCAUCGCAGCCGAUAAUUUACCAGCUCAGAGGAAGGCUGCUAGGCCUCAGCGCGGCAUCGCCAUGAGUUACGGUAGGCCUCCGCCAGACGUCGACGGUAUGACUUCCCUCAAAGUCGACAACCUGACGUACCGGACGUCGCCCGAGACCCUGAGACGCGUGUUCGAGAAGUACGGCCGCGUGGGGGACGUCUACAUCCCCCGGGACCGCUACACCAAAGAGAGCCGCGGGUUCGCCUUCGUGCGCUUCCACGACAAACGCGACGCCGAGGACGCGAUGGACGCCAUGGACGGCGCGCUUCUGGACGGACGCGAGCUGCGUGUUCAGAUGGCCCGAUACGGCAGACCCCCUGAUUCCCACUACGGGGGCAGCGGCGGCGGCGGUGGAGGUGGUGGCGGCGGCGGUGGAGGAGGCGGCGGAGGCGGCGGAAGAGGAGACCGACGAGGAGGGCCUACCAAGAGAUACGGCGGCCAUGGGCGCCGAAGCAGAAGCUCCUCCCCCAGCCCGAGGCACCGGAGACGCAGCCGGUCCCGCAGCAGGAGCCGCUCUCGUUCCCGGAGCCGGUCCCGUUACAGCAGAUCCCGGUCCAGGUCCUACUCCCGCUCCAAGUCCCACUCCCCCAGGAACAAGAAGGUCAAGGCGAAGUCCCCAUCCCGUUCAAAGUCAAAGUCAAAGUCAAAGUCAAAGUCCAAGUCCAAAUCCAGGUCCAGGUCCCGAUCCCGAUCCCGAUCCCGAUCCAAGUCUAAGUCUAAGUCCAAAUCAAAGUCCAAGUCCAAGAGUCGCUCCAGAAGCCACACCCCGGCCUCCAAAAGAGAAUCCAGAUCGAGAUCUAAAAGCCCACCCAAGUCUGCAGCAGAGAAUGGAGGUGAAUCCCCGUAGAGCUCAGGAACAGCUGCGGCAUCCUGUUUGCUAAAGCGGAGUUUGAGCUGAGCUGAGGCAGUAUGAGCAGUUAGAAGGGAUGUGGUGAGCUGUCCACAGGCCGCCUGCUGCUGCUGCUGGUGGUGGUGGUGUGCAGCAGGGUGGAGGCAGUCAGAGUUGGGGUUUGGUGUUGAGUUUCCAGGUGAAGACGCAGCGUCGAGUCGUCGAUCCGACCUGAGCCAACGUGUCCCGCUGUUAAAGGUUAUUAUUGUGUCUUCCAUGCUUUGCUUUGUUUUAUUCAUUUGGCCUGAAAAGAAGUCGUGUCGCCUCAUUGAUGUGCUGUGAUUUUAUUUUCAUGAUGAUUUUAAAAUCUGGGUCAGUGUGGAGAGGAGUCAGUGACACGAUCACGAGCUCCGAAGUUUGUACUGUUGCUCUUUUUCUUUUGUUCUCCUCUCUGGGCCCAACAGAACCAGUGUGAUCCUGGAUUAGCUCACUAAAGCUCCACUUGCCCCCAACGAAACGUCAUAACAACCAACAAUGGGAGGAGUUAAAGAUCCUUUUAGUUGAUCUAAUUAUUACACUGAGAGAUUGUAAACAUUUAAAUGACUGGCUGAUUAUUUUCACCGUUGAGCCCUUUUCUACAUUUGAUCUUUAAAGUUGGUGUAUUUUCUUUCCCUCGCUAUGUGGUCAGUUUGAUCCUGUGGAGACGUAGCUUUGUUUUGCUGUUUAAGUUAGCGUAUUGUCAAUAAACUGAAACGUGACAUAAUCAAUCUCCCAGGACAACGUUGACUGAACCUGAUGCGGAGUUUGUCUUUUCUUUUGACCCUAAUCCUGUUUGUGUUUGUUUUGUGCAUCAGGCGCAGUUGUGUAGCCGUUGAGUUGUGCUGGUUAGCUGUUAAGGUGGCGUGUUGCUCUGCUGAAUCCAGUAUUCUCCAGAGCGCUCCUGUGACUACCAGUGAGCGGCCGCUGCAGUCUCCCUUUGUAAGACAUGUGCCCCCCCCCCCCCAAAAUGCGCUCAUGGAUGACAAAUGUGACUUUC